rnacentral:rRNA from 1 species
AGAGUUUGAUCCUGGCUCAGGAUGAACGCUGGCGGCGUGCCUAACACAUGCAAGUCGAACGAUUAAACCGCCCUCGGGCGGACAUAGAGUGGCGAACGGGUGAGUAACACGUGACCAACCUGCCCCGCGCUCCGGGACAACCGCUGGAAACGGCGGCUAAUACCGGAUACUCCGGGAGGGCCCCAUGGCCCUGCCGGGAAAGCCGAGACGGCGCGGGAUGGGGUCGCGGCCCAUUAGGUAGACGGCGGGGUAACGGCCCACCGUGCCCGCGAUGGGUAGCCGGACUGAGAGGUCGACCGGCCACAUUGGGACUGAGAUACGGCCCAGACUCCUACGGGAGGCAGCAGUGGGGAAUUUUGCGCAAUGGGGGAAACCCUGACGCAGCAACGCCGCGUGCGGGACGAAGGCCCUCGGGUUGUAAACCGCUUUCAGCAGGGAAGAUCCAAGACGGUACCUGCAGAAGAAGCUCCGGCUAACUACGUGCCAGCAGCCGCGGUAAUACGUAGGGGGCGUGCGUUAUCCGGAUUCAUUGGGCGUAAAGCGCGCGUAGGCGGCCGCCUAAGUGGGACCUCUAACCCCGGGGCUCAACCCCGGGCCGGGUCCCGGACUGGGCGGCUCGAGUGCGGUAGAGGAGAGCGGAAUUCCCGGUGUAGCGGUGGAAUGCGCAGAUAUCGGGAAGAACACCGAUGGCGAAGGCAGCUCUCUGGGCCGUCACUGACGCUGAGGCGCGAAAGCUGGGGGAGCGAACAGGAUUAGAUACCCUGGUAGUCCCAGCCGUAAACGAUGGGCGCUAGGUGUGGGGGGACGAUCCCUCCGUGCCGCAGCCAACGCAUUAAGCGCCCCGCCUGGGGAGUACGGCCGCAAGGCUAAAACUCAAAGGAAUUGACGGGGGCCCGCACAAGCAGCGGAGCAUGUGGCUUAAUUCGAAGCAACGCGAAGAACCUUACCAGGGCUUGACAUGCCGAUGAAGCCGGGGAGACCCGGUGGCCGAGAGGAGUCGGCGCAGGUGGUGCAUGGCUGUCGUCAGCUCGUGUCGUGAGAUGUUGGGUUAAGUCCCGCAACGAGCGCAGCCCCCGCCCCGUGUUGCCAGCAUUCAGUUGGGGACUCGCGGGGGACUGCCGGCGUCAAGCCGGAGGAAGGUGGGGACGACGUCAAGUCAUCAUGCCCCUUAUGCCCUGGGCUGCACACGUGCUACAAUGGCCGGUACAGAGGGUUGCCACCCCGCGAGGGGGAGCGGAUCCCGGAAAGCCGGUCCCAGUUCGGAUCGCAGGCUGCAACCCGCCUGCGUGAAGCCGGAGUUGCUAGUAAUCGCGGAUCAGCACGCCGCGGUGAAUACGUUCCCGGGCCUUGCACACACCGCCCGUCA